rnacentral:pre_miRNA from 1 species
GUUGGUAUUGCUUGGGAGGGUCCUGGGGAGGGGAGUUCUGGCACCCCAACCUCUCACCCUAUGUUCUCCCACAG